GACGAACGCUGGCGGCGCGCUUAACACAUGCAAGUCGAGCGAGAACCAGCCCUUCGGGGCUGGGGACAGCGGCGAACGGGUGAGUAACACGUGGGUAAUCUGCCCUCGGCACCGGGAUAGCCCGGGGAAACCCGGAUUAAUACCGGAUGGCCUUUCGAGCCCUCGGGCUUGAGAGAAAAGGUAAGCUUUGGCCUCUGGCCGAGGAUGAGCCCGCGGCCGAUUAGCUUGUUGGUGAGGUAAUGGCCCACCAAGGCGACGAUCGGUAGCUGGUCUGAGAGGACGAUCAGCCACACUGGGACUGAGACACGGCCCAGACUCCUACGGGAGGCAGCAGUGGGGAAUCUUGCGCAAUGGGCGAAAGCCUGACGCAGCGACGCCGCGUGAGGGAUGACGG
rnacentral:rRNA from 1 species